GACGAACGCUGGCGGCGUGCUUAACACAUGCAAGUCGAACGGAAAGGCCCUGCUUUUUGGGGGUGCUCGAGGGGCGAACGGGUGAGUUGCACGUGAGUAACCUGCCCUUGACUUUGGAAUAACUUCAGAAAACUUGUGCUAAUACCGGCUAGGAGCUCCUGCUUCUUGGUGGGCGUUGGAAAGUUUCGGCGGUUGGGGGUGGACUGGCGUCUUAUCAGCUUGUUGGUGGGGUAGUGGCAUACCAUGGCUUUGAAGGGUAGCCGGCCUGAGAGGGUGGGCGGAGACAUUGGGACUGAGAUAAGGCACAGACUAGUAUGGGAGGCAGCGGUGGAGAGUAUUGUACAAUGGGCGGAAGCCUGAUGCGGCAACGCCGCGUGGGGGAUGACGGCCAUCGGGUUGGAAACCGCAUUCGCUUGUGACGAAGCGUGAGUGACGGUACUGGGUGAAGAAGCACCGGCUAACUACGUG
rnacentral:rRNA from 1 species